AUGAUCCAGCCUACCCAGGUAUUUCUUGACUUGCUCGUGGGAUACUCUGCCAGCAACAGCACCAAAGGAAGAUUGACAGUGCAACAAGCUUCUCAAGAUGUAGAAAAUGUCGUUGAUGAGCCUGCUUCACCCACGGCUGCUCUGCUUCUCAACGGCGGGGGCACCACACUCCAUGCGGUUGCGAGCAACGGGGACAGCAAGAACUUCUUAGAGUGUGCUACUAUCAUCUGCAAAAGGGACCAAGACCUCCUGUUUGUGGCAAAUAAAAAGGGUGACACACCCUUGCAUUGUGUCACCAGAGCUGGUUACUUCCAAAUGCUCUCUUGCCUCGUUGAACUUGCUGAAAGUUGCAACAGGUUGCACGAGCUCUUGAGAAAGGAGAAUGUGCAUAAGGAAACAGCCUUGCACGAUGCUGUCCGCGUAGGAAAUGAGGAUAUUGUGGAACAUCUAUUGAAGGCUGAUCCUGAGUUGGCUAAUUAUCCUAAAGAAGGCACUUCACCAUUGUAUCUAGCAAUUUUACUGGGAAAACAUGGCAUUGCAAGGACAUUAUUAUAUGAUAAAAGCAAUGGGAAUCUCUCGUACUCCGGGCCAAAUGGGCAAAAUGCGCUACAUGCUGCAACUUUUCAAUGCUCA
rnacentral:rRNA from 1 species